rnacentral:lncRNA from 1 species
GAGCAUCCAAGUGAAUCCCAAAGCUUCCUCUCCAUCCGUGUGCUGCCUUGGUGAUCCUCUACUUCGUGCCAAAACAGAAGAGGGUCAAGUAAAGAAGAAGCCGAGCUCCUUCAUCUUCAAAACUCGUUUGUGGGCUUCUCUUUACUCUAUUUGGUUAUACUGUUAUACUUGCUUGUUUAAGAAGCUUUGAUUUGUUUUAAACCUUUGUUUUAAUAUCUUGUAACUUGAUUCAAUCAAGGGAUUGAAUCAAGGGGUUAAGGUUUGUUGGUGAGCCAAAGGGAAAACCAACGGUGUUAGGUUGGUUGGUGAGCCGAGGGUAAAACCAACGUGUAAGGAUUCGAUUGUGAUCCCGGAAAAACAAUCGGGGUGGUUCUAGUCGGUGAGCCUGGGAAAACCGACCGAGUUCGUUGUGCGCUCGUAAAACAACAAGUUGGGUUGUGAGCUUGUAAAACAACCGGCUGUAAUCUGUAGGAUUAUAGUAGAAUUCCCAAGAGGUCUUGGGGAGUGGAUGUAGGUGCUGGGGUGCACCGAACCACUAUAUGUUUAUUGUGUUUGUAAUGCUUCUUGUCAUUGUCUAACUUACAAAAUUACUCACUUAGAUAAAUUGCUUGCUUAACUAUUAUCCGCGAAUUCUUUAGUUGCAAGCAUAUUCAAUCAAGUCACAUUCUAUACAUCAAACAGUUGCUAAGUUUAACUUUCACUGUGCAUCUAUACCACUUAGCAUAAUUAAUCAAAACUUUUAGAAAU